GCGGCGUGCCUAACACAUGCAAGUCGAACGGAGUCCAGCCUUAGAGACCUUCGGGUCAAAGAGGGGAAGACUGAGUGGCGGAUGGGUGAGUAACACGUGGGCAACCUGGCUCAUAGAGGGGGAUAACAGAGAGAAAUUUCUGCUAAUACCGCAUAAGCACACACUGCCGCAUGGCAGAGGGUGAAAAGAGAAUCGCUAUGAGAUGGACCCGCGUCUGAUUAGCCAGUUGGCAGGGUAAGAGCCUACCAAAGCGACGAUCAGUAGCCGAUCUGAGAGGAUGAACGGCCACAUUGGGACUGAGACACGGCCCAAACUCCUACGGGAGGCAGCAGUGGGGGAUAUUGCACAAUGGGGGGAACCCUGAUGCAGCGACGCCGCGUGAGUGAAGAAGUAUUUCGGUAUGUAAAGCUCUAUCAGCAGGGAAGAUAAUGACAUACCUGAUAAGAGCCC
rnacentral:rRNA from 1 species